rnacentral:rRNA from 1 species
UACGUAGGGACCAAGCGUUGUUCGGAUUUACUGGGCGUAAAGGGCGCGUAGGCGGCAAUUCAAGUCAAGCUGUGAAAUCUCCGGGCUUUAACUCGGAACGGUCAGCUGAUACUGCUUUGCUAGAGUGCAGAAGGGGCAAUCGGAAUUCUUGGUGUAGCGGUGAAAUGCGUAGAUAUCAAGAGGAACACCUGAGGUGAAGACGGGUUGCUGGGCUGACACUGACGCUGGAGGCGCGAAAAGCUAGGGUAGCAAACGGGG